GAAGUAAACCGGGUGAUCGCUGUUUCGGCCCACGGGUCGAGAGGGAGGAAAGUCCGGGCUCCACAGGGCAGGAUACUCCGUAACGCGGAGUGAGGGCGACCUUAAGGAAAGUGCCACAGAAAAUACACAGCCUACCCGGCUUUCAUAGUCGGCGGCAAUGGUGAAAAGGCGAGGUAAGAGCUCACCAGUACUGCUGGUGACAGCGGUAGCUUGGUAAACCCUAUCCGGAGCAAGAUCAAAUAGGAAAGUGUUCGAGGGCUGCCCGUCCGAUGCUUUCGGGUUGAUUGCUUGAGCCUGUUGGCAACAGCAGGCCUAGAUUGAUGAUCACCGCUUCAUUUUUGAUGAAGAACAAAACCCGGCUUAUGGUUUACUUCGGCC
rnacentral:RNase_P_RNA from 1 species